ACAAUAUACAAGGUGCUGCAUGGUUGUCGUCAGCUCGUGUCGUGAGAUGUUGGGUUAAGUCCCGUAACGAGCGCAACCCUUGUCCUUAGUUACCAGCACGUUAUGGUGGGCACUCUAAGGAGACUGCCGGUGACAAACCGGAGGAAGUGGGGAUGACGUCAAGUCAUCAUGGCCCUUACGGCCUGGGCUACACACGUGCUACAAUGGUCGGUACAAAGGGUUGCCAAGCCGCGAGGUGGAGCUAAUCCCAUAAAACCGAUCGUAGUCCGGAUCGCAGUCUGCAACUCGACUGCGUGAAGUCGGAAUCGCUAGUAAUCGUGAAUCAGAAUGUCACGGUGAAUACGUUCCCGGGCCUU
rnacentral:rRNA from 1 species